GAUGAACGCUGGCGGCGUGCCUAAUACAUGCAAGUCGAGCGAAUGGAUUAAGAGCUUGCUCUUAUGAAGUUAGCGGCGAACGGGUGAGUAACACGUGGGUAACCUGCCCAUAAGACUGGGAUAACUCCGGGAAACCGGGGCUAAUACCGGAUAACAUUUUGAAACGCAUGGUUCGAAAUUGAAAGGCUGCUUCGGCUGUCACUUAUGGAUGGACCCGCGUCGCAUUAGCUAGUUGGUGCGGUAACGGCUCACCAAGGCAACGAUGCGUAGCCGACCUGAGAGGGUGAUCGGCCACACUGGGACUGAGACACGGCCCAGACUCCUACGGGAGGCAGCAGUAGGGAAUCUUCCGCAAUGGACGAAAGUCUGACGGAGCAACGCCGCGUGAGUGAUGAAGGCUUUCGGGUCGUAAAACUCUGUUGUUAGGGAAGAACAAGUGCUAGUUGAAUAAGCUGGCACCUUGACGGUACCUAACCAGAAAGCCACGGCUAACUACGUGCCAGCAGCCGCAGUAA
rnacentral:rRNA from 1 species